GACGUAGGGCGCGAGCGUUUGUCCGGAUUUAUUGGGCGUAAAGAGCUCGUAGGCGGUUUGUCGCGUCGUCUGUGAAAACCCACGGCUCAACUGUGGGCUUGCAGUCGAUACGGGCAGGCUGGAGUUCGGUAGGGGAGACUGGAAUUCCUGGUGUAGCGGUGAAAUGCGCAGAUAUCAGGAGGAACACCCGUGGCGAAGGCGGCCAGCUGGGCCGUCCCUGACGCUGAGGCGCGAAGGCGUGGGGAGCGAACGGGG
rnacentral:rRNA from 1 species